rnacentral:rRNA from 1 species
GCUCAGGAUGAACGCUAGCUACAGGCUUAACACAUGCAAGUCGAGGGGUAGCAGGGUAGCAAUACCGCUGACGACCGGCGCACGGGUGAGUAACACGUAUCCAACCUUCCCAUAACUCAGGGAUAGCCUUUCGAAAGAAAGAUUAAUACCUGAUAGUACUUAAGAAAGGCAUCUUUUUUAAGUUAAAGAUUUAUUGGUUAUGGAUGGGGAUGCGUUCCAUUAGAUAGUUGGUGAGGUAACGGCUCACCAAGUCUUCGAUGGAUAGGGGUUCUGAGAGGAAGGUCCCCCACAUUGGUACUGAGACACGGACCAAACUCCUACGGGAGGCAGCAGUGAGGAAUAUUGGUCAAUGGGCGAGAGCCUGAAC